GACCGCGCACGCGUCAUCCAGCCUGCCGGCGGCAGCAUCGUUUGUCGCUCGGCCAAGACCUCGAUAACCUCCUCUCCUCGGAGUGGGGGCUCGGGGUAAAAGAACCCACGACGCCUAAGGCGUCAAGGAACACUGUGCCUAGCUCGGGGACGCGGACGGCUUGCUGGCCGCCCCCCGUGCUGCAAUGCUAUUUAAUCCACAUGACUCUCGGCAACGGAUAUCUCGGCUCUCGCAUCGAUGAAGAACGUAGCGAAAUGCGAUACCUGGUGUGAAUUGCAGAAUCCCGCGAACCAUCGAGUCUUUGAACGCAAGUUGCGCCCGAGGCCAUUCGGCCGAGGGCACGCCUGCCUGGGCGUCACGCAAAACACGCUCCCACCCCCUCAUCGGGKAGMGGGACGCGGCAUGUGGCCCCCCGUCGCGCAAGGGGCGGUGGGCCGAAGAUAUGGCUGUCGGCGUAUCGUGCCGGACACAGCGCGUGGUGGGCGACCUCGCUUUACUUCCGCAGUGCAUCCGGCGCGUAGCCGACGUGAUGGCCUCGAAGGACCCUAUGAACGGUGCGCACGACGCUCCGACCGCGACCC
rnacentral:misc_RNA from 1 species